rnacentral:rRNA from 1 species
UGGGGAAUAUUGGGCAAUGGAGGAAACUCUGACCCAGCGACGCCGCGUGAGGGAAGACGGUCUUCGGAUUGUAAACCUCUUUCAGCAGGGAAGAAAGAAAUGACGGUACCUGCAGAAGAAGCCACGGCUAACUACGUGCCAGCAGCCGCGGUAAUACGUAGGUGGCAAGCGUUAUCCGGAUUUAUUGGGUGUAAAGGGUGUGUAGGCGGGACUGCAAGUCAGACGUGAAAAUCAUGGGCUCAACCCAUGACCUGCGUUUGAAACUGUGGUUCUUGAGAGUGGGAGAGGUAAACGGAAUUCCUGGUGUAGCGGUGAAAUGCGUAGAUAUCAGGAGGAACACCGGUGGCGAAGGCGGUUUACUGGACCAUUACUGACGCUGAGACACGAAAGCGUGGGGAGCAAACAGG